rnacentral:rRNA from 1 species
AUUGAACGCUGGCGGCAGGCCUAACACAUGCAAGUCGAGCGGAUGACGGGAGCUUGCUCCUUGAUUCAGCGGCGGACGGGUGAGUAAUGCCUAGGAAUCUGCCUGGUAGUGGGGGACAACGUUUCGAAAGGAACGCUAAUACCGCAUACGUCCUACGGGAGAAAGCAGGGGACCUUCGGGCCUUGCGCUAUCAGAUGAGCCUAGGUCGGAUUAGCUAGUUGGUGGGGUAAUGGCUCACCAAGGCGACGAUCCGUAACUGGUCUGAGAGGAUGAUCAGUCACACUGGAACUGAGACACGGUCCAGACUCCUACGGGAGGCAGCAGUGGGGAAUAUUGGACAAUGGGCGAAAGCCUGAUCCAGCCAUGCCGCGUGUGUGAAGAAGGUAUCUUCGGAUUGUAAAGCACUUUAAGUUGGGAGGAAGGGCAGUAAGUUAAUACCUUGCUGUUUUGACGUUACCGACAGAAUAAGCACCGGCUAACUCUGUGCCAGCAGCCGCGGUAAUACAGAGGGUGCAAGCGUUAAUCGGAAUUACUGGGCGUAAAGCGCGCGUAGGUGGUUUGUUAAGUUGGAUGUGAAAGCCCCGGGCUCAACCUGGGAACUGCAUCCAAAACUGGCAAGCUAGAGUACGGUAGAGGGUGGUGGAAUUUCCUGUGUAGCGGUGAAAUGCGUAGAUAUAGGAAGGAACACCAGUGGCGAAGGCGACCACCUGGACUGAUACUGACACUGAGGUGCGAGCAAGCGUGGGGAGCAAACAGGAUUAGAUACCCUGGUAGUCCACGCCGUAAACGAUGUCUAACUAGCCGUUGGAAUCCUUGAGA